UACGUAGGGUGCGAGCGUUGUCCGGAAUUAUUGGGCGUAAAGAGCUCGUAGGCGGUGUGUCGCGUCGGCCGUGAAAACCCGAGGCUCAACUUCGGGCUUGCAGUCGAUACGGGCAGGCUAGAGUUCGGUAGGGGAGACUGGAAUUCCUGGUGUAGCGGUGAAAUGCGCAGAUAUCGGGAAGAACACCCGUGGCGAAGGCGGCACUCUGGGACGGUACUGACGCUGAGACGCGAAAGCGUGGGGAGCGAACAGG
rnacentral:rRNA from 1 species